UCCUCACCAAGGAAAGUGUUUCACUCAAGCACACAGGUGUAUAUUGAGGUGACUCAUUCUCUCUACUAUCACAAUGUCACACAAAUUAACUUUGCCUUUCAUUUAACCAUAAUCAAUCAUACUCACAAGGAGGUUAUCAUCACAAGGACUUUUCAUGGCUUGUAACGUGGUUAAGUUAAGAAGAACAUUGGUUUUUCUGGAUCACAAAAUCCUUGAGUUAAGAGAGUUAUUCACAUUUAUAAUUUAAACACAAACUCUCUUUAAACAACCAAUCUCACUCAUUCCCAACUUUCCUUUUUCUUUGCAUUGAGCUUUUCUUCUCAUUUUAUCUUUUUUUAUCUUUUCUAUCUUUUUCAUAUUUUCAUGUUUUACUCAACACAUUAGCUCAAUGCUUAUCUUUUUCUUUUUCAACUUUCGCAACAGCCCCAAACUUGAACCUUUAUAAAUACCACGCAAUAAUUCUCAACUUA
rnacentral:lncRNA from 1 species